rnacentral:rRNA from 1 species
UACCGACGGCCCGAGUGGUAUCCACUCUUAUUGGGUCUAAAGGGUCCGUAGCCGGUUUGGUCAGUCCUCCGGGAAAUCUGAUAGCUCAACUAUUAGGCUUUCGGGGGAUACUGCCAGACUUGGAACCGGGAGAGGUAAGAGGUACUACAGGGGUAGGAGUGAAAUCUUGUAAUCCCUGUGGGACCACCUGUGGCGAAGGCGUCUUACCAGAACGGGUUCGACGGUGAGGGACGAAAGCUGGGGGC